rnacentral:lncRNA from 1 species
UGAACUUCAAGUAAAAUGUGAAUAAGCUCAUGUUUGGUUAGAAUGAAAUUUGGAUAUAUCAUAUAUGUAAUAUUGGAGGUAGAAAUUGAAAAUUAUACUAUAUUUUGAGUUACAAUACAUGAAAGCAUAGAUAAAGAAUAGAACAGAGAAAAACAACCACAAAUUCAUUCAUUCAUCACCAUUUCCUCGUACUAUUUUUUUUUUCUUCUCAACACAAAUUGAUGAGAUUAAAAACAAUAAAAAUUGUAAAUCUGAAGGUUUUUUACAUUAAACAAAUUCAUUCACUUGGUCUAUUAAUUAAGACACAAUCAGAACAAAAAAGGGGUUUUUCUUUACACACAUAGAGAAGAGAAAUUACACACAAAAAAAAAACUAAUUUA